rnacentral:rRNA from 1 species
CGACCGGGUGAGUAACACGUGACUAACCUACCUUCGAGUGGGGGAUAACCUCGGGAAACCGGGGCUAAUACCGCAUAAUAUCUUCGGGAUGAGAAGCCGAAGAUCAAAGGAGCAAUUCGCUGGAAGAGGGAGUCGCGGCUGAUUAGCUAGUUGGCGGGGUAAUGGCCCACCAAGGCGAUGAUCAAUAGCCGGCCUGAGAGGGCGCACGGCCACACUGGAACUGAAACACGGUCCAG